AAUGAACGCUGGCGGCAUGCCUAACACAUGCAAGUCGAACGAAGGCUUCGGCCUUAGUGGCGCACGGGUGCGUAACGCGUGGGAAUCUGCCCUUGGGUUCGGAAUAACAGUUAGAAAUGACUACUAAUACCGGAUGAUGACGUAAGACCAAAGAUUUAUCGCCCAAGGAUGAGCCCGCGUAGGAUUAGCUAGUUGGUGAGGUAAAAGCUCACCAAGGCGACGAUCCUUAGCUGGUCUGAGAGGAUGAUCAGCCACACUGGGACUGAGACACGGCCCAGACUCCUACGGGAGGCAGCAGUGGGGAAUAUUGGACAAUGGGCGAAAGCCUGAUCCAGCAAUGCCGCGUGAGUGAUGAAGGCCUUAGGGUUGUAAAGCUCUUUUACCCGGGAUGAUAAUGACAGUACCGGGAGAAUAAGCUCCGGCUAACUUCGUGCCAGCCGCCGCCGUAAGAC
rnacentral:rRNA from 1 species